GGAGUGGUAGUUCAGUUGGUUAGAAUAUCGGCCUGUCACGCCGGAGGUCGCGGGUUCGAGUCCCGUCCACUCCGCCA
rnacentral:tRNA from 1 species